rnacentral:snRNA from 1 species
GGAUGUCAGGGCAACCUGGCUGCAACAUCCGUCACUCUGUUGAUAGCCAGGGUUGAUUCGGCUGAUCUGGCUGGCUAGGCAGGUGUCCCCUUCCUCUCUCACUGCUCCAGGUUCAUCCCUCCCAAAGCUGUGCACUCUGCAAAGAGGACGACCUUCCUGGAAGAGAGGAGGACUGGUCUUCAGUCACGGGUAUAGGAGUAGCGGCGCUCCUCUGCUAGAACCUCCAAACAAGCUCUUGAAUAGGUCUUUCAGAUUUGAGUCCUCAGCUUAAGGGUUUUUCUCUGUCGAGCUGAGAUGACAGGCACGAGCCGCCACAGCCAGCUCCUCACUGCU